UACAGAGGGUGCAAGCGUUGUUCGGAAUUAUUGGGCGUAAAGAGCUCAUAGGUGGUUUGUUACGUCUGCUGUGAAAACCUAGGGCUUAACCCUGGGCUUGCAGUGGAUACGGGCAGACUAGAGGUAGGUAGGGGAGAAUGGAAUUCCUGGUGUAGCGGUGAAAUGCGUAGAUAUCAAGUGGAACACCAGUGGCGAAGGCGAGUCCCUGGAAAACUCCUGACACUGAGGCACGAAAAGCUAGGGGAGCAAACAGG
rnacentral:rRNA from 1 species